rnacentral:rRNA from 1 species
AUUGAACGCUGGCGGCAGGCCUAACACAUGCAAGUCGAACGAGCGGCGGACGGGUGAGUAAUGUAUGGGGACUGCCCGAUAGCUGGGGAUAACUACUGGCAACCGUAGCUAAUACCGCAUACUAUCGGAUAACCCAUAUGGGAUUAGCUAGUCGGUGAGGUAAUGGCUCACCUAGGCGACGAUCCCUAGCUGGUCUGAGAGGAUGAUCAGCCAAACUGGGACUGAGACACGGCCCAGACUCCUACGGAGGCAGCAGUGGGGAAUAUUGCACAAUGGGCGAAAGUCUGAUGCAGCAAUGCCGCUUGUAUGAAGAAGGUCCUAGGGUUGUAAAGCACUUUCAGUCGGGAGGCGUUACCUACCCAAGAAGCACUGGCUAACUCCGUGCCAGCAGCCGCGGUAAUAC